UGAGCCCUGCCGCUCCUGGUCCUCAGGCCAGACGCUCAGCCCUGGGCCAGUCGGGCUGCUUAGAACCCAAGCUGUGAGAAGCCAGGAGGGGCGAGAGGGGGCCCUGCCCUCUGCCUCCCAACCAGGAACCCAGCGCCCUCGGUCAGGGGCCAGACCAGUCCUGCCCAACGAAGGGGCAGCUCCCAGUUCUGCGAGGUGAGAAGCUGAAGCGGGAAGCCAGCGAGAGGCCCCUUCGGCCUCCUUCUGGGUGGAAAAAGAUACACCUGCAGCCUGACACCGAGAUCUGGCUCAGGGCCGGCUGGGCCGCGUGGCUCAGCUCCCGCCCCCUGGCCGGAGCCGAGGCUGUGCAGGCCUGUCUGGGGGGAGUGGGGAGGCCCGAAGCCCCCCCGCCGCCUUACCGAGCCCCCCUCCUCUCCCCUAUCCGGCUGCUGUAGGUCUGGUUCCAAAACCGCCGCGCCAAGUGGAGGAAGAAGGAGAACACCAAGAAGGGCCCGGGGCGGCCGGCGCACAACUCCCACCCGACCACGUGCAGCGGGGAGCCGAUGGACCCGGAGGAGAUCGCGCGCAAGGAGCUGGAGAAGAUGGAGAAAAAGAAGCGGAAGCACGAGAAGAAGCUGCUCAAGAGCCAGAGCCGCCACCUGCACUCGCCCGGCGGCCGCGGGGGACGUGGCUGGCCGCCUUGAUUGUGUCGAUGGGAGAUGAUUUUCAAGGUGAAAUUUCUACUUCAGUUGAGUCACUUUCGUUCAAGGCAGCGCACAAAAUGCCACCCCGCCCUGCUCCGCGCGCUCUGCGCUGCUCCCCGUUGCAUUUAAAUUUACUUCACUUUCCCUCCCUGACACCUGUUUAAAUCAAUAUCUUCCUCUCCAGGUCGCGGGGAGAAUGUGCCCAGCUCUCCACACAGCGCUUCUCAAAUCCACUAAAAUCAACACAAUAAUUGAAAUAUUUUCAAGCUGAUUACACCGCAGCCCGAGGCGAGCCUGGUUGCUAAGGGUGAGCUCCGCGGUUGCUAGGGGGAGUAAAUCAUCUUGCAUUAUUUGAUUUUUGUUAUAGAUAUGAAACCGCUACUCCCGCGAUUAAAUGUCUCUCAGCCUAACACCUAUGGGACCUGGGGAGAGAGAAGAGAAAGGCACCAACCUUGACCCUGUCAAAUAAAUAUCUCUAACUUUUCCUGUCCUCGGGCCUCCCAGCCAAACCUGUCUGUGGGUUUUUUUUCUUCCUUUAACCUGACUUUAAAUAACAAAGCUGUGGGGACCCGGAGAUGAAGAGCGGGAGGCUGUCUGUUCUGUUAACCGCGCGGACCCGCCAUCCUUGCAGCCCAUUCCCCUCUGGCCUGUGGCUCGGGCUGGCUCGGGUGGGCUCGGAGGACCAAGCCCCCCCAGCGGGGCUUCCUGCAGACAGUGGAUGGGGGACUGACGAGUGCCCUCCUCCGCCCACCUGCCAUCCCCUUUUCUAGAGAAUCUGACCCUGGCUUUGGCCCCGGCUUCCCCAGUGGCUCAGCGGCAAAGAACCUGCCUACAGGAGACGUGGGUUCGAUCCCUGGGUCGGGAAGAUCCCCUGGAGGCGGGCAGGCAACCGACUCCAGUGUUCUUGCCUGGAGAAGCCCAUGGACAGAGGAGCCUGGGGUUAGCAGUCCGUGGGGUCGCAAAGAGUUGGACACGACUGGAGUGACUUAGCACACAUACACCUUCUUCACGCACUGGCUUUGGCCCCGGGGGUCUGGGGGCGAGGCCGAGCUCACCAGGCCCAGGAGGCGGGGACCACAGUGCACAGUGCUCACCCUCUGGCCCCGGGACGGCGCCGAGCUCCCGCGGCUGGAGGCAGGUGUGGGGCGUCCUCACCUGCGCCUGCUCUUCUGACUCGUCUGGGGAACGUGCCCCCCACAGCCCUCCUGCCUGUCUCUGAGCUGUCAGGCAGCCUUCCCAGCCAGCACCCUCGGGAAAGUGGGGGCGUCCCUGUCCAGCCGACGGCAGCAGGGAGGCGGUGAGGCUGCCCUGCCGGGAGCCCGCCCAGUGUCCCAGGAACGAGCCUGGGGGAGCUACCAGGCAGCGACAUGCCUGUCGGUGGGAUUGCUCACGGGGACGCUGAGUGCCGGGCGGGCUGGGUGGGGCCUGCCCUCUGCCCCGGGAGCCGGGGGCCAUCCCAGGUGGCACCCCUGGUCCUCCACCUGCCCCAGGGAGGCCAGAUCUGGCUCCAAAGCACUGUUGCUCCCGGAGUGCCCCGGCCCCCAGCCCUGCAGGGCAGCACCCCGUGUGUCUCAGCNNNNNNNNNNNNNNNNNNNNNNNNNNNNNNNNNNNNNNGCCCUGCUCGCCACCCCUGAGAGCCUGGCCCUCCAGAGCUCAGUCGCGUCACUUAUUAGAGGUCCUCGCUGACCCUUGCAGCCACCCACCCCUCCUGCACCUCCCACCAGCUCAGCAGCCGGGACCCGAGUGCUUCCUCCUGAGUGUUUGGUGCCCGACAGGGACGCCGUCAGCCACCCACUCACAGUGGGUGCAGAGGCUGGGGUCAAGCCAGGCCUCCUGGGUCACCCAGCUGGACAGCAGAGUGGAAGCUGACCCCCCUGGGGUGCCCAGGACCACGGCACUGACCUGAACUCUCACCCCUCCCGCCAGGCGGGCCUGGCCUCCCUGGAUCCCCCGUGCGCCCUCACUGGGUCUCGUGGCGAGAAUGGCUCCCAGGCCGGCUCCCAGGUGAGAAAGGCCACGUGGGGAGCAGCUGUGCGCGGGGCCAGGGUGGCCUUGGUGAGGCCGUGGGUCUGUGAAGCCGUCCCCUGCGGGUGUUCAGGCCGGGCCAGGCCAGCCAGACCUUGCGGCGGACACACGGAGGCCUCGUACGUGGAUCCCCACGAUUCACCUUCUCAGCUAACCUCUCGAGUCACCCCCAUUUACAGAUGAGGAAACAGGUUCAGGAAGGCCCCCCACCUGCCUGAGGGUGAGCAGGGCCGAGGCUGGGGGGGCAGGCUCUGUGGCAGUGGGCUCUGGAGCCCUUCCCCAGCCCCAGGCUGGAUCAGCGUGUCCUCCGAUGUCUGAGGCCUUGGAAAGGGCCUGGAGGGACCCCCAGUCAGACGUGGAGGCCAGCCUGGACGGCCGGGCCUGGGGCUGCAGCCCACCCGACCCCCGCAUCAGACCACGCCCAGGUGUGCCUGCCCCCCAUCAGAGCCCACGGUGGUCCUGAGGGG
rnacentral:lncRNA from 1 species